rnacentral:rRNA from 1 species
CAGUCGCGCGGGAAUACGUAGGUGGCAAGCGUUGUCCGGAAUUAUUGGGCGCAAAGGGCUCGCAGGCGGUUUCUUAAGUCUGAUGUGAAAGCCCCCGGCUCAACCGGGGAGGGUCAUUGGAAACUGGGAAACUUGAGUGCAGAAGAGGAGAGUGGAAUUCCACGUGUAGCGGUGAAAUGCGUAGAGAUGUGGAGGAACACCAGUGGCGAAGGCGACUCUCUGGUCUGUAACUGACGCUGAGGAGCGAAAGCGUGGGGAGCGAACAGGAUUAGAUACCCCCGUAGUCCCUGUCUCUUAUACC